CGGGGUGAGUAACGCGUGGGUAACCUGCCUCAUACAGGGGGAUAACAGUUAGAAAUGACUGCUAAUACCGCAUAAGACCACAGUACUGCAUGGUACAGUGGUAAAAACUCCGGCGGUAUGAGAUGGACCCGCGUCUGAUUAGGUAGUUGGUGAGGUAACGGCCCACCAAGCCGACGAUCAGUAGCCGACCUGAGAGGGUGACCGGCCACAUUGGAACUGAGACACGGCCCAG
rnacentral:rRNA from 1 species